GUUCAAGUUUUCUUUUGGUUCGAAGUUUUUUUUUCCUCUCUGGUUGUUUCGGGCUCGGAUCAGACGCCGGCACGAUGGGUUCACACACAGACAGAUUUGUUUUCUUUGUUCAGAUUCAACUCUAAUUUAGUUCGGGUGCACGUCAGUUGUGGUUCGGGUUCGUGAAACGGUUCGACUCGGUGCAACACGACUCGACUCGGUAACUCACUAGUCGACUCGGUCAAACCCGAGUCAACUCGGGUCAGCAGCAGUCAACACAACAAAAACUGGUCAACCCGGUUCACAUUUUUGAUUCGGUGUUCAGAUCCAUUGCG
rnacentral:lncRNA from 1 species